AGAUUUCAAAAUAACAGCAUUUAGCCCCUAACAUAUCCACACUUAACAGCAAAACCAUGGAUUUCAUGCCCCAACGCCUCUCAUUAAAAGCACCACACACUUUGAGUGAGGCAUUAAAAGCACCACACACUUUGAGCACACACGUGAAAAUGGUUCAUUCAAUUAUGUUGUCGAACAAUUUAUCUGCAUCAAGAAAGAUGCCACAUUUUCCGUACAUGUGGAUAAACUUCGUGACUUUUGAGUUUUGAGAAAACAAUCAUGUAACUGUUGGCCUUGAGAAAGAGCUUUUUGGGAAGCGUGAAGGUCAAAAGCUUGAGAAUAAGCUUGUUGAAGAGGGAAACGAUUAUUGAGAAUAAUGGGUUGGUUGAAGUGAGCAUUGUGGCGUGGGUGAUAGUGAUGCAUGGACGAAGAUGAAACAAGUAUCUCAUACAAAUGUGAAGUCAGUAACAUAAGACAAAUAAGAGUGAUGGUGAAAAAAAUAGAUUUUCACAAAAAGAAAGAAUUAGAAGAGAGAACUCGAGAGAACUAGGGUGAGAGAAAAGAGAGAGAGG
rnacentral:lncRNA from 1 species